GAUGAACGCUGGCGGCGUGCCUAAUACAUGCAAGUCGAGCGAACAGAUGAGGAGCUUGCUCCUCUGACGUUAGCGGCGGACGGGUGAGUAACACGUGGAUAACCUACCUAUAAGACUGGGAUAACUUCGUGAAACCGGAGCUAAUACCGGAUAAUAUAUUGAACCGCAUGGUUCAAUAGUGAAAGACGGUUUUGCUGUCACUUAUAGAUGGAUCCGCGCCGCAUUAGCUAGUUGGUAAGGUAACGGCUUACCAAGGCAACGAUGCGUAGCCGACCUGAGAGGGUGAUCGGCCACACUGGAACUGAGACACGGUCCAGACUCCUACGGGAGGCAGCAGUAGGGAAUCUUCCGCAAUGGGCGAAAGCCUGACGGAGCAACGCCGCGUGAGUGAUGAAGGUCUUCGGAUCGUAAAACUCUGUUAUUAGGGAAGAACAAAUGUGUAAGUAACUAUGCACGUCUUGACGGUACCUAAUCAGAAAGCCACAGCUAACUACGUG
rnacentral:rRNA from 1 species